rnacentral:rRNA from 1 species
UAUUGCACAAUGGGGGAAACCCUGAUGCAGCGACGCCGCGUGGGUGACGAAGUAUUUCGGUAUGUAAAGCCCUAUCAGCAGGGAAGAAGAUGACAGUACCUGACCAAGAAGCCCCGGCUAACUACGUGCCAGCAGCCGCGGUAAUACGUAGGGGGCAAGCGUUAUCCGGAUUUACUGGGUGUAAAGGGAGCGUAGACGGCGAAGAAAGUCUGAAGUGAAAGCCCGCGGCUUAACCGCGGAACUGCUUUGGAAACUUUUUUGCUGGAGUACCGGAGAGGUAAGCGGAAUUCCUAGUGUAGCGGUGAAAUGCGUAGAUAUUAGGAGGAACACCAGUGGCGAAGGCGGCUUACUGGACGGUAACUGACGUUGAGGCUCGAAAGCGUGGGGAGCAAACAGG